UUGGUAUUAAACCUCUUACUGUGUGAGCAGAUGCAGACCUCUAAGUGACAAUCUUUAAUCAAUUUUAUUUCUGUAAGCAUAUAUGGAUUGCGGGGGUAUCAUUCUUUAAAUAAAGGGUUUUUACACUAUAUGCAGUCUCCUCUGCUUUCUUGCAUGUCACGCAUAUACCCACUGAGUGGAACCACCAUACACCUGGGGGAGAGCUGUUGGAGUUGAUUAUCCUGACAGGACCCUUUCAAUUAUGUGAAUGUCUGCAGUUUGGGGCUGGUCCUUGUGUGUGAUGCAAGAGAGAAUAAAGGUUCCAGCCAGGUAUAUAUAGCAGAGAAAGCAACAGAAGAACAUCAGCUGAAGAACAACUCCGUUCUCCUGAGCACGGUAUCCACAUACACCGAAUAGACCUGGGGUCACUGAGAAUGAAGCUUCUCAUCUUUUCCUUGCUGCUGGUAGCAGUGACAACAAGAUCAAUCCCCGAUGGU